rnacentral:rRNA from 1 species
GUCCACGCCGUAAACUAUGAGAACUAGCCGUUGGGACCCUUGAGGUCUUAGUGGCGCAGCUAACGCGAUAAGUUCUCCGCCUGGGGAGUACGGCCGCAAGGUUAAAACUCAAAUGAAUUGACGGGGGCCCGCACAAGCGGUGGAGCAUGUUGUUUAAUUCGAUGCAACGCGAAGAACCUUACCACCACUUGACAUCCUCAGAACUUGUCGGAGACGACUUGGUGCCUUCGGGAACUGAGUGACAGGUGCUGCAUGGCUGUCGU